rnacentral:ncRNA from 12 species
UCCCCUCUAGCGAAGAGUCGCCAAUUGUCGGCGGCCUGCCCGGACCAUUGUUCUGGGAUAGCUAGAGGGGUUUUC